CUCGCUCAUAGCUAUUGGUUGCUGCUAGACUCGCCUUCACAGACUAUUGGCCUUUUUCCAGAACCCGCCUCCUCUCUUGAGCUUAUUGGGCGCCACCUCCCGCCUGACUUACACCAUUGGCUGAGUCGCAAGUCCGUCUGCAGUAACUGUCUACUGCCACAGGAAUGGAGCUCUUUUGAGGAGGGUUUCUUGUGUCUUCUUCACAAAAGAACACUGCCUGGAAUAUAGGAUAUGAUCAGGAGAAUCUGUUGAAGGAAGACAUGGCUUGCCUCUUGGGACAUAGCGAGAAGGCGGCCGUCUGCAAGCCAGGAAGAGAGCCCUCACCAAGAACCAAAUCAGCUGGCACCCUGACCUUGGACUUCCCAGCCCCCAGAACUGUGAGACAUAAAUCUCUGUUGAGGUCUGUGGUGUUUUGUUAAGCAGCUCAAGCUGACUGAGAUAUGUUCUCAUUCUGCAGUGCCUCAGUUUCCCCUAGGUAUCAGUAAAAUACCAAUUUCAAUUUUGUUUUUUAAAAAAUUGUUAUUGGGCCAGGCACGGUGGCUCACACUUGUAAUCCCAGCACUUUGGGAGGCAGAGGUGGGUGGAUCACUUGAGGCCAGGAGUUUGGCCUCAUGUUUCACCAUUGGCCUUCAAAGUUUCACCGUGGCCAACAUGGUGAAACCCUGUCUCUACUAAAAAUACAAAAAUGAGCCAGGUGUGGUGGCACAUGCCUGUAAUUCCAGCUACUAGGGAGGCUGAGGUAUGAGAAUCGCUUAAAUCUGGGAGGUGGAGACUGCACCACUGCACUCCAGCCUGGGCAACAAAGCGAGACUCCAUCUCAAAGAAAAAAAAAAAAAUUGUUAUUGAUGUAUAAUAUACACCCAGGAAAGGGCAUGAUUCGUAAAUGUCUGGUGGGAUGGAUUUUCAGACUGAACAUACCCUACAGGACCAGCACCCAGACCAAGAGAUGGAAUAAUGCCAGCACCCCUGAAACCCCACUUGGGCCCACGACAGUCACUAAUCCUUGCCACCCCCUCCCCAUACCCCAAAGCAACCACUCCUCUAACAGCAUAAAUUAGCUCUCCUUGUUUUUAUAGUUUAAAUAAAUGGAAUCACAGAG